rnacentral:rRNA from 1 species
GACGAGCGCUGGCGGCGUGCUUAACACAUGCAAGUCGAACGGAAAGGCCCUGCUUUUGUGGGGUGCUCGAGUGGCGAACGGGUGAGUAACACGGGAGUAACCUGCCCUUGACUUUGGGAUAACUUCAGGAAACUGGGGCUAAUACCGGAUAGGAGCUCCUGCUGCAUGGUGGGGGUUGGAAAGUUUCGGCGGUUGGGGAUGGACUCGCGGCUUAUCAGCUUGUUGGUGGGGUAGUGGCUUACCAAGGCUUUGACGGGUAGCCGGCCUGAGAGGGUGGCCGGCCACAUUGGGACUGAGAGACGGCCCAGACUCCUACGGGAGGCAGCAGUGGGGAAUAUUGCACAGUGGGCGGAAGCCUGAUGCAGCAACGCCGCGUGCGGGAUGACGGCCUUCGGGUUGUAAACCGCUUUCGCCUGUGACGAAGCGUGAGUGACGGUAAUGAGUAAAGAAGCACCGGCUAACUACGUG